rnacentral:lncRNA from 1 species
AUGCAGCCAACAUGCAUUUAUGUGUUAAGCCACAGGAAUUUAAUCGUGAGGCAGAGCUUUUCAUCAGCUCCUACUGCAGAGACAAAAUGCUGCCCUGCUGAAGUCAGUGGCAAAGCUCAAUUUGGCUGUUAUACAGCCAACAUCUUGUCCUUCUGCUUAUUGCAUUCGGAGCUGGCAAGCCUGGUGCAGGGGGCUUUUUGCUGGGAACAGGGUGUGUGCGGGCUGAAAAGCACUGAGGAGGAACUGAGGCCAUACCUGAUCCUGGGGGGUGCCCAGAGCAGCUCUGCAAGCAAGGUUAGCGCCUUUGCUCCUCUGUCAUCACCAGUCCCUGAGAGCAAUCACCACCCACCAGCAGUUCCUCAAGAUAAGACCGAGCCAGCUGGGAGAAGAAAUCCUUUGAUAUUUCCCUGCCUCGCUGAACACUGAAGAAGCAGCAGGAAAAUUCUGGUUUGCACUGAGGGAGUUGUGGCAGACAGCACAGCUUGCAUGGAUGUCUCAGCAACCAGUCUGCAAGCUCCAGCAGGACCCAAGGUCUGUAUACACUUGGGCAUCCCAAAAAAUGUGCUGUAAUGUUUGAGACCUAAGGGACUCAGCAGUGUCGACUCUGAGAAUAGCAGUGAUUUUCAACAAUCUCUUCUUCUGUCUACACUUCCAAUGCUCAGUCUGUCUAAUUACUUCUGGGUUCUUG